UUGCUCAUGAGAAAAUUGCUCUCCAAAUUGGCUUGCGUGGGCUGAAAUGGCUGGAUGAGGCCAUGUGUAUACAUAUCUAUAGACUGUGUAUGUGGAGCUUAAGACAUGUCUCAGUACACCAGUAACUGAUGCUGGGAGUUGAAUGGCUUAGUGCUUUUCUGCCUGAAACACACCGUUCCUGCCAGCCGGGCACUAACAAUUAUCACCCAAUCCAGGACUUAAACUGUGAUAGAGUGGCUGAUAGAGUGUCCAAAGAUGGGACCACUGGUCAGCUGCCAUGGACUAGAUUCUCCACCGGUUGGGGACAAUCUGGUCACCUUGCUGCCCAAUCCGGACCUGGAGCCACCACAGCACGAGUGUCAAACACUGACAGAAGCACAUGGGUGGAGGAAAGACCUCUGCGACUGGCUGAUUGACCCCUGCUGAAAGCCGAGGACCUUGUCCACAGAUGGGAACAGUUCUCUUCAUGAAUGAAGGUCAGAGACAAGUGGGUGCUGCCAUGGUGGACAACACAAUGUCAUCUAGAAUGGCUGAACCUCUACCCCCCCCAGCACAUCAGCGCCACAGAUGCCUUUGCCAUCUCUUAGAUGCCCGGAUGAAGCCAACAACUGUGAGUACUAUUCAUUGCCCAGGAAAACAGGAGGGAAGAGAUUCAGUGACAUGGGGCAGUGACAAAACAGAUAAAGUGGCUCGGGAAAUGGCUAUACAGGAGCCUAUCCUGGUUACAGGCCUGCAAGAGACAGCCACUGAGAACUAGGAUUAGACUAAGGGAUGGCCUCACUUAGAAAAGGCCCAAAUUGCUUAAAAGAUAAAGGACAAUGGCACACUUGAGGGGAAGCUAUACUCCCCAAAGAACAAACAAAAGACUCACUUUGCCAAAUUAAAAAAUAGACUCAUUUAAGAGAUAAGAAGUUUGUCCAAAUAGUUAAAAUAUAUAUAAUAGACUUUAAGAUUUUAGCCAAGAGAGACAGUAAAAAGUAUAAGAUAUGUCAAUAAAUAAAUGCUUAACAAACAAACAGGGCAAAGAGACCUAGAGAGUUUAGUGAAAAGUCGAAGUGAACUUCACUGAGAUAAAACCAAAAAAAUAUAAUCACAAGUAUCUCCUAGUGCUUGUAGAUACUUUUUCAAGAAUAGAUAGAAGCUUUCCUCACCAAACGAGAGACGGCCUCUACAAUCAUCAAGAAGAUACUGAAAGAAAUCUUCCCCAGGUCUGGAAUGCCCAAGGUAAUCUGGUCAGACAACGGUCCUACUUUCGUUGCCAAGGUAAGCCAGGGUGUGGCCAAAUAUUUAGAGGUCGAUUGGAAAUUACAUUAUAUUUACAGACCUCAAAGUUCAAGACAGGUAGAGUAAAUAAACAGAACUCUAAAAGAGACCCUAAACAAAUUGACCAUGGAGACUGGCACAGACUGGGUGACACUCCUUCCCUCUUGCUCUCUUCAGAGCAAGAAAUACCCCUUCCAGAUUCAGCCUUACCCCCUUUGAGAUCUUAUAUGGGGCCUCAGCUCCCCUGACUGUAUUAGAUGAUGUUACUGAACCAACAUGUCAUAGUAAUAAUGAUUUGUGUGCCAGGCUAAAAGACCUACAGGUGAUACAGAAAGAAAUCUGCUCACAGCUGACAGCAGCCUAUGCCCCGGAGACCCCUGAGACAUCCCAUCAGUUCCAGGUCGGAAGCAGCUACACUGAGCCCAGACACUCGAUCCUCGCUGGAAAGGACCAUACCUGGUGCUGCUGACCACCCUGACAGCCGUCAAUUCUCAGCCCUCACCAGCCGUGUACUAGCUGUUAGGGCUGAGAGCUGGGACCUAGAGAGAAAUUCAGUCAUGUUUGUCCUGGGUUCCAUCGAGAUAGGUGUGGGGAUAGGCUUGAUUUCUAUUACAAAUGAUGUAACAUUACAUAUGUUAGUACUCCUAACACUUCUUGGGACUGUGCCUCAGGGAUCACAACCUAUAUAAGUUUAGAAGUUCUGAAAGACAGUCAUGACCUUGGUGUAUAGGUUCAGAUAGUGUCCAGAUUGAAAUCCUGAUGCUAAAGACUUAGUAAGAGACAAAAAAAAAAGAGUUGAGAAUUACUUAGGGCUAGGGCUAUCUAGGUGCUACAAGGGCAGCACAAGGACAUCUGCUGUUGCCCUACAAUACAAGGCUUAUAGAGAAUUCAGAACUGCCAUUGACUCAGAUAUAAAAAGAGUAAAAGACUUUUUAGCUGACCUCCAAGAAUACCUAACCUCCCUCUCAGAGGUAGUCCUUCAAAAUAAAAAAAGAUUAGACCUGAUAUUCCUUAAAGAAAGAGUCUGUGUGCUAUACUAAAAGAAAAAUGUUGCUUCUAUACAGACCAUUCAGGAGUAAUUAAAGACUCCAUAAAUAAACUUAGAAAAAGGUUAGACAAAAGACAGACAGAAAAACACAUCAGAGAUAGUUCGAGAGCUAGUUUAGUAGAUCUCCCUGGAUGACUACCCUACUCUCUGCUACAGGUGGGCCAUUAUUAAUAAUUUUCUUGGUUUUAGUUUUUGGCUCCUGCGUGACAAACAGGUUAAUUACUUUUGUUAAAAAUCGAGUGGGUGCUGUGCGGUUGAUGUUGUGAGACAACAGUACCAGUCAGUUAGGACAACUGGU
rnacentral:lncRNA from 1 species